rnacentral:rRNA from 1 species
AGAAUCAACGCUGGCGGCGUGCCUCAGACAUGCAAGUCGAACGCGAAAGGGGGGCUUCGGCCUCUGAGUAGAGUGGCGCACGGGUGAGUAACACGUGAGUAAUUUACCUUCUCGGUGGGGAAUAACAAUCGGAAACGGUUGCUAAUACCGCAUAAUGCAGCGGCAGCUUAGGCUGACAGUUAGUUAAAGGCGGGGGAUCGGAGCAAUCCGACCUCGCGCCGGAAGAGGACGCUCGCGGCGGUAUUAGCUAGGUUGGGUAGGGUAACGGCCUACCGAAGGCAUCGAUCCGUAGCCGGCUGAGAGGGCGUCGGCACACUGAACUCAGAACAGUACGGGUACAGACCGUCUACGGGAGGCUAGCUAGGUCCGGGGUAAAUUUUU